rnacentral:tRNA from 1 species
GUUUUAGUAACUCAACGGUAGAGUGCAAGACUGAAAAUCUUGAAGUUGCUAGUUCGAAUCUAGCCUGAAACA